UACGUAGGGUGCAAGCGUUGUCCGGAAUUAUUGGGCGUAAAGAGUUCGUAGGCGGUUUGUCGCGUCCGUUGUGAAAGCUUGGGGCUCAACCCAAGUCUGCAGUGGAUACGGGCAGACGUAGAGUCAGGUAGGGGAGAACGGGAAUUCCUGGAUGUAGCGGGUGAAAUGACGCAGAUAUCUGGAGGAACACCGGUGGCGAAGGCGGCAUCCUGGACCAACACUGACACUGAGGAGCGAAAGCCAGGGGAGCAAACGGG
rnacentral:rRNA from 1 species